rnacentral:rRNA from 1 species
UGAGCGACCUACCUAAUUGUGGGGGAUAGCCGGCCCAACGGCCGGGUAAUACCGCAUACGAUCGGAGAGGGGCAUCCCUUUCUGAGGAAAGCCUUCGGGCGCAAUUUGAGGGGCUCGCGGCCUAUCAGCUAGUUGGCGGGGUAACGGUCCACCAAGGCGACGACGGGUAGCUGGUCUGAGAGGAUGGCCAGCCACAUUGGGACUGAGAUACGGCCCAGACUCCUACGGGAGGCAG